GAUGAACGCUGGCGGCGUGCCUAAUACAUGCAAGUCGAGCGAACAGACGAGGAGCUUGCUCCUCUGACGUUAGCGGCGGACGGGUGAGUAACACGUGGAUAACCUACCUAUAAGACUGGGAUAACUUCGGGAAACCGGAGCUAAUACCAGAUAACAUGUUGAACCGCAUGGUUCAACAGUGAAAGACGGUCUUGCUGUCACUUAUAGAUGGAUCCGCGCCGCAUUAGCUAGUUGGUAAGGUAACGGCUUACCAAGGCAACGAUGCGUAGCCGACCUGAGAGGGUGAUCGGCCACACUGGAACUGAGACACGGUCCAGACUCCUACGGGAGGCAGCAGUAGGGAAUCUUCCGCAAUGGGCGAAAGCCUGACGGAGCAACGCCGCGUGAGUGAAGAAGGUCUUCGGAUCGUAAAACUCUGUUAUUAGGGAAGAACAAAUGUGUAAGUAACUAUGCACGUCUUGACGGUACCUAAUCAGAAAGCCACGGCUAACUACGUG
rnacentral:rRNA from 1 species